rnacentral:rRNA from 1 species
UACGGGGGGUGCGAGCGUUGUCCGGAAUCACUGGGCGUAAAGGGCGCGUAGGUGGUUUGAUAAGGGUGUGGUGAAAGUCCGGGGCUCAACCCCGGAUCUGCCGUGCCGACUGUCAAACUCGAGGACUGUAGAGGCAGACGGAAUUCCGGGUGUAGCGGUGGAAUGCGUAGAGAUCCGGAGGAAGACCGGUGGCGAAGGCGGCACUCUGGGCCGAUACGUGACACUGAGGAGCGGAAAGCGUGGGGAGCGAACAGG